rnacentral:tRNA from 1 species
GGCCCUAUAGCUCAGCGGUAGAGCGUUGGCUUCCAGUUCUAAUUGGAAAUUUCCAAAGGUCAUCCGUUCAAAUCGGGUUGGGGUCA